UUUGUCUGUCCAGUUUUUUUUUCUAUUUUAUCGCUACACACCCAACUGUUGCUUAUUUUUGCAACUACUUUCUCAUCUCAUAUUGUAAAACACCUUUUCUUUAUUUUUCGCAAAAAGAAGAACACAUUUCUUUAGAACUACACAAAAUUAUUAGCCAAACUGGGCUUAUCUAGCUCAUAGCAUGGUACUGUACAUCUCUAUCCCGCCCAAGAGGAUGCAUUUUUUUUUGAACAGACCCAAGAGGAUGCAUAAGUAGCCCGCACAAUUUUUUUUUAGAGGAAAGUAGCCCGUACGAAUGAACCGUCCAAAUCCUAAGGCACGUUUUUUGCUAACCAGG
rnacentral:lncRNA from 1 species